rnacentral:sRNA from 1 species
AUAGGAUAUAUAUCAGAAUGGAUCACACCAACUCAGGAAGAGUUUAGCGCUAGGAUUGGCGCAAUAAGGACAAGAGCCUCAGGAAGAGGGUGCAAGGAGCAAAACGGCAAAGGGAAAAACCGGGACGUUGAGUGCAUUCAGGGAUUGAGAUGCGUGAAUAUCCUUCAUUUGAAGGCUAGAAUUAAGGCGACAGUUUAGGCUGUCGCCUUUUUUCUUUGCGUGCUU